GUGUGCGCGUGUGUAUGUGUGUGUGUGUGUGUGUGUGUGUGUGCUGUGCGUGCGCGCCCGCGGAGAGAGGGGCGGGGGAGGCGGAUGAGGAGGAUGAGAUCAUAGUUUCAGGAUCCUCAGGAAACCCUGGUACUGGCAGUAGCCAGGCUCUGCUGUGCCCACAUGACCCACAACUCUGGCAGCGGACUCGGCACUUCCAACAUUAUUAAAUAAUAAGAAAGCGGCUCCUACUCCAUGCCCAAACCUCCCCAAAGACCGGUGGACACCUUCGAAGAGUUUGGCGAGUCGGUGACUGGGGCGUCCGUCCAUUCCAAGGUUUGAACUGAAAUAUCCUGAUGACUAUAAUCUGGUCUGUCUGUUACGGAGGACACUGAACAAAUUUUUCCAUCGCCUGUGUGUGAAGGCUGGAAGUCCAAAAUCAAGAUGCCAACAGAUUUGGUGUUUGAUGAGGGCCUGCUUCCUGGCUCAUUGAAGGCCAUCUUUUUGCUGUGUUGUCUCCAGUGGAAGAGAUGAAGAAGCUCUCUGGAGUCGGGCACUAAUCCCAUUCGUGAGGAUUCCACCCUUGUGACCUAAGCACCUCCCAAAGGCCCCCAAUACUGUCCUAUCACGUGAGAGGUUAGGUUUCAACAUACAAAUUUUGGGGGACACAAAUAUUUGGUCUAUAGCAAAUAGUGUAUUUUUUUUUUCAAAAUAAUAAUAUAUGAAAGACAAAAUCAUCCACAAAACUAUCAUCAUGAGAAUACAGUCUUUGUCAGCUUAAGCCUAGUGUCUUAAGGAUGCUAGAGAAGAAAAAGCAAAGGGACCAUUUGCUUUUCAUUGUCCAGAUUUUUCACACACAGAUGCUUCACAGAUCAGCUAAGACCUAAGUCUAAACACCUUGUUCACCCUGCAAGGAGACUGCUACCAGCCUUUGCCAUACACAGAACUGAGCUAAGACAAUCUAUUUCUGGAGAAUGGAGCAGAUUAACUGCUUAUUCAUGAUAAAUCAAGGGUAUUUGAUUUGCUUGUUACAUGCCCAGUUUUCUUUGGAAGAAAGCCCUGGAAGCUAUUUUUCUGAUCAAAUCCUAACUCUCUUGUUAGUGCUUUUGAAAGAGAAAAAUAACAUUUACUCAUGAUAAAGACUGAGUUCUAGCCAUUAUAAAUCUUAUCAACUGCCUUGUGAAGGUUAAGGGGGGAAAAAAGAGGGAAAAAAAAUUCCUGUGUGUUCAUUCAACCUUGGGUUUGGACUCAGGCUACCACUACUGUUGCAAACGUUCUGGAAUUUCUGUCAUUGAAACAGAUGAAAAUAUAAAAAGAGAUAAAGUUGGAACCUAAGGAGAUAUUUGGCUGAUGCAUGUUGCACUAUACGGAAUGGUCAGGAAGAAUUCAAUAAAGAAAAUUGUUAUAGUUUACUAGUUAAUAUGAAAUAUUAGAAAUCCUUAAAAUUUUAUUUUCUUUUAUUUCUCUUUAGAAGCCAG
ensembl:lncRNA